UUCACCCCUACAAAUAAGUCAGUAUAAAAUAGGGGUUAAUUACGCCAAAACUCAUAAACUAUACUCUAAUUUCCAAACUUUUCAUGAACUUUUUUUUUUAAAUCAGCAAUUCUCUAAAUUUAAGGGGUUGAACAAUUUUUCCAUACUUUUUCUCCGGUGAAGCUCCGAGCUGACCUACCGCCUACGUGGUAAUACCGACCUGACAUGGCACCUACUUGAACUGAAAAUUUGACACUUGAAAAAAAAAAAAAAUCAUUCUCUUCCUCACCAGAGGAUCACCGGCAGCCAUGGCUCCCUCCAGCUAUUAUAGCCGCCACCACAUAUGGCUGCUCCUCCACCGUCGCUGUCCUCGCGCCGCCGACCUCCGCUACAUCGUCCACUGCCGCCUCUCUUCCCCACCACCACACCUCUCUAUUUGCCGCCUCCGAGGAGCUUUGCCGUCCUCGUUUUACCCACCACAAUCACUAGAUCCGCUGCCUUCCUCUUCCCCCAACCACCCCCGCAGACCCUCCACAGCCGCUGCCUCCCAAGAGCUUCACCGUCGUCGUUUUACCCACCAUCAUCACCAGAUUCGCCGCCUUCCUCUUUCCCAAC
rnacentral:lncRNA from 1 species